rnacentral:rRNA from 1 species
UAGGGAAUCUUCCACAAUGGGCGAAAGCCUGAUGGAGCAACGCCGCGUGUGUGAUGAAGGGUUUCGGCUCGUAAAACACUGUUGUAAGAGAAGAAUGACAUUGAGAGUAACUGUUCAAUGUGUGACGGUAUCCUACCAGAAAGGACGGCUAAAUACGUGCCAC